AUUGAACGCUGGCGGCAGGCCUAACACAUGCAAGUCGAGCGGAUGACGGGAGCUUGCUCCUUGAUUCAGCGGCGGACGGGUGAGUAAUACCUAGGAAUCUGCCUGAUAGUGGGGGACAACGUUUCGAAAGGAACGCUAAUACCGCAUACGUCCUACGGGAGAAAGCAGGGGACCUUCGGGCCUUGCGCUAUCAGAUGAGCCUAGGUCGGAUUAGCUAGUUGGUGAGGUAAUGGCUCACCAAGGCGACGAUCCGUAACUGGUCUGAGAGGAUGAUCAGUCGCACUGGAACUGAGACACGGUCCAGACUCCUACGGGAGGCAGCAGUGGGGAAUAUUGGACAAUGGGCGAAAGCCUGAUCCAGCCAUGCCGCGUGUGUGAAGAAGGUCUUCGGAUUGUAAAGCACUUUAAGUUGGGAGGAAGGGCAGUAAGCUAAUACCUUGCUGUUUUGACGUUACCGAUAGAAUAAGCACCGGCUAACUCCGUGCCAGCCGCCGCGGUAAGAC
rnacentral:rRNA from 1 species